GAUUCCUGAAAGACGUAAAUGGAAUAUGUACGACUUAGGCAUAGAGGAAAAUUUUAAGAAUAUUUUGGUAAGGAACUAAAAAAAAAAAAAAAAAAAGUCUGUUUUCGUUUUUUUAUACCAAUGUACAUAUAUAUAUAUAUAUAUGUACGAACCUGUAGUUAUAUAUCUAUAUGUCCAUGUGCCCAAAUGUUUACAAGUUCACAUGUCUAUAUGUGUUAACAUUUUUUCCCCAUUUGUUGAUUUUAUCUAACAGGGAGAUAAUAUUUUACUUUGGUUUUUUCCUGUUGGCAAACCUAAAGGUGAUGGGUUAUUUUUUAAAACCUCUGGAAAUUUAGAUGAAUAAACCUAAAUAGGAAUAAGAUUAGGAUUAAUGCUAUAUCUUUUCACAUUUUUACCCCCUUUUAUUUUUUUAUAUUUUUUUUUUCUAGCUUUAAAUNNNNNNNNNNUUUUUUUUUUUUUUUUUUGGUAGAUUCCUGAAAGACGUAAAUGGAAUAUGUACGACUUAGGCAUAGAGGAAAAUUUUAAGAAUAUUUUGGGAGAUAAUAUUUUACUUUGGUUUUUUCCUGUUGGCAAACCUAAAGGUGAUGGGUUAUUUUUUAAAACCUCUGGAAAUUUAGGUAACUCUAUUUUUAUUUUUAUUUUUAUUUUUUUUAACUGCAAAUAUUUAAUAGUUUUAUAUUAUUCAUGCGUAUGAGUUGAAGAAAAACAUAAUAGAAU
rnacentral:lncRNA from 1 species